CCUACGGGAGGCAGCAGUGGGGGAUAUUGCACAAUGGGGGAAACCCUGAUGCAGCGACGCCGCGUGAGUGAAGAAGUAUUUCGGUAUGUAAAGCUCUAUCAGCAGGGAAGAAAAUGACAGUACCUGACCAAGAAGCCCCGGCUAACUACGGGCCAGCAGCCGCGGUAAUACGUAGGGGGCAAGCGUUAUCCGGAUUUACUGGGAGUAAAGGGAGCGUAGACGGUGUUGUAAGUCUGGAGUGAAAGCCAGGGGCCCCCCCCCGGGACUGCUGUGGAAACGGUGUACCUGGAGUACAGGAGGGGCGGGCGGGUUUCCUGGUGUAGCGGUGAAAUGCGUCGAUAUAGGGAAGAACCCCAGUGGCGAACGCGGCUCUCUGGUCUGUAACUGACGCUGAGGUUCGCACGCGUGGGUAGCAACCAGGAUUAGAUACCCCAGUAGUC
rnacentral:rRNA from 1 species